rnacentral:rRNA from 1 species
UACGUAGGGUGCAAGCGUUGUCCGGAAUUAUUGGGCGUAAAGAGCUCGUAGGCGGUCUGUCGCGUCGGCUGUGAAAACCUGGGGCUCAACUCCGGGCCUGCAGCCGAUACGGGCAGACUAGAAUUCGGUAGGGGAGACUGGAAUUCCUGGUGUAGCGGUGAAAUGCGCAGAUAUCAGGAGGAACACCGGUGGCGAAGGCGGGUCUCUGGGCAGUGAACUGACGCUGGAGGAGCGAA